rnacentral:snRNA from 1 species
GUGCUCGCUUCUGCAGGACAUAUACUAAAAUUGGAACGAUACAGAGGAGAUUAGCAUGGCUCCUGCGCAAGGAUGACACGCAAAUUCGUGAAGCGUUCCGUAUUUUU